rnacentral:rRNA from 1 species
GACAGAGGGUGCAAGCGUUGUUCGGAAUUACUGGGCGUAAAGCGCGUGUAGGCGGCUAUGUAAGUCGGGCGUGAAAUCCCACGGCUCAACCGUGGAAGUGCACCCGAAACUGCGUAGCUAGAGUCCUGGAGAGGAAGGUGGAAUGCUUGGUGUAGAGGUGAAAUUCGUAGAUAUCAAGCGGAACACCGGUGGCGAAGGCGGCCUUCUGGACCGUGACUGACGCUGAGACGCGAAAGCGUGGGGAGCAAACAGG